CAAAAAGUACUUUAAAAAAGGAAAUGACAAGUCAUACAGGUGUAGUAUUAAAAUAAAACGAACUAACAAUGAUAAUGUGGUACAAGAAAACGAAUGUGGAGACAUCGUUUUUGUAAGUAAAGAUUCAUUUUGGAAUCUGAAAAGACACGUCUCUCGAAAACAAGAAAGUGUGCUACGUGAACAUGCUGGGAAGACAGCAAAAGAGCAAGAGGAGGAGCAGCAGAAACGAAAGAAAACGGUUGAGGAAUUCAAAAGUUUCUUCACUGUGCGCAAAGGCCCAACAAUAACAAAGGAGAGAAAAAGAGAGCUGGAUGUAGCAUUUUUUUAAAAGGUUGUGGUCUGAGCUAAAAGUGAAAUCUACAUGUAGAUUCUUUCCUUUUUUGGUGCGAGCGGGGGGGGGGGGGGCGAUUUGAAUGGAGCACGAAGCAAAUGCGUUGAGCGCUGAGCAAUAAUGAGCGGAGUGGCCUGAUGUGGCUUUGAGCGGGGGAGCGGAGGGGUGAACAGUUCCGUGAGCGAUGAGCUGAGAUUCUCACCGCUCCACUCCGCUCAUGUGCUCUGGCCUCUUGCACCACCUUACUUCUUCCGCUCUAUUUCAGCUGUAUGUAUAGUACCGAGUGCUCCUUGUUCCCCGACUGAGGCAUCCGUGUGCUUGUGAACUCUUGGCUAGAUUUGUGUGUGGUCGACAGCAGUUCAGAGUAUUGCGUGCUCGUCAGGAUCAGGUAAGGCUUCUUUUCCUCUUUGGUCAUUUCACCUUGACCAGACACCCCUUCUUGGUCUGGUCUGUCAGUGGUGUGGCUGCAGCUCCCAGUGAUUUAUCCUCAAUCAUACCACGGGUUCCUGACAAAGGCAUUCACUUCUUUCUUGGUGAGGGGAUGAGGCCACUGCAUGGUGGCCCAUACCUUUUCUUUCUCUGGCCGGAUCAACCCGCCAGCAAUAGAGUAUUGGAGGUGACUGUCAGUCCUGCUGUCUCUGGACAGAAUAGUGCCCCCGUCUACGCUGUGUGUAACCACGUCAUGGAUGUAUGAGUCUAGAACUGUUGAAGUCUCAACCCCACAUCCAUUGGAAUUUUGCUACAGCACUGUAAAGCCCGGAUGUCAUUCUUACAUACUGGAAUUGUCCUUCCAGCGUGGUCCAAGGCCCUACAGUUUGUAUCCUCUUGCUGAAUUUAACGACAUGCAUCAUCCCAAUGCGGUAAGGUGGUCUUCGCCGGGGAAACUUCCUACUUCCACGGAAACGGCGGACCACCUGUCAUCCAACAUGUAGGACGCACUGAUGGAGCUGUCCAGUGAUCGGACCUUAAAGGCAAUGUUUGCCACAACCACACUUGCUGAAUUUCAGUUACAGAAGAAUACCCAGGACUAUCCAAAUCAGCCAUGGGUGUACUGAUUCCGUUUAGAUGAACCUGCUUAUGUGAAGCAACAUUUUCCACACUGGGUGAUCUCAUACAAAUACAGAUCACUUCUCAAUGUGGAGGGUGAUCUCCAAGAUGCCAUUUCGACGAUCAAUCCCAGAAUGCAGCUGUUGUAUUCCGAAAAGCAGACCCAACCAUCUCGUUAAAUGAGUACGUUGCUCAGACUUACUAAUAAUAAACAUACCUGAGAACAGAUCAUUAUUAUGGUAUAGUUGAUAAGGGUUUUUUCAUUAGUCAUCUUAAUAUGAUCCCCUGAGCGUGUCUACAUUUGUGUCGCAUCGUGUGAGUCCUUCUGUUGUGUGUGCAUGCCUGUGCACACAUAACACAUGUUGUUUCAAACGUUUGUUUUUGGGGUCGCGCCUGAAAAGGUUUGUGAUCCCCAGGCCUACACCGCCGGCGUUCACCACCUGAUCAGGAUUACAUCUUCUAUGAUGGACCAGAGCGGGCAAGCCAUUCAUUUAGGGAUGGUACAUGCUGGGGUGUAUAUGCUUCCCCUGGUAUAGGGCGCAGUGAUCCUGAUCAGCAAGGACAUUAAGGGCAUUCCUUGGUCCAUCAAGAUGGUCCCUGAGAGUCAGACUCUCCGAAAAUAAUGUAAAGCUUCUUUGCUAUGCCAUUGGUUCAAAUGUUCUGUACCGGAAUAGUAUGAAGAUAGAAUACUGCCAAAAUGUUUGUAUUCACAGCAUACAACUCACAAAUAUGAACUAUGAUUCGCAAAUACACAGCAUCCAGAGUUGAGUUGUAUGCUGUGAAUACAAACAUUUUGGCAGCAUUCUGUUUCCCUGGAAUAGCUUCAGGGAACCAGUUGGUGUAAAUAACAACAAUAAUGUAUUUGUGGGACCUGGAUGGUCUGUCUGCUCACCAAUGCAAAAAACGUCAGUCAAGUUUCGUCGUUAAGGAUCGAACAAUGUUAUCUAACGCUAACCCUAGUUUGUGCUAACGUGACCAUUAAUAUGUUUUAUUUGGUACUACUAUGUUAGCUAGAUAGCUAUUGCUACCUCAAAUAUUAGCUUGUUACAUGGGGGUACUCUUAGGCUUUACUUUAUCAGGUGACUUUCUGCUGAAGUUGAUAGGAUGAUGUUGACUGAUAAGAGUUUAAUAAUAGCUAUAUAACCAGCACUUACCCGGCAGUGCAAGAGCAUGACUGGUCCACAAGGCUGUGCUGGUCGCAUUUGAGUUCAUCAGGUUUCUCAUUCUUUGAUUGAGAUCUGAAUGCUUGUUUCCAUUAUUGUGUCCCCUUCCUUGUUUAUCUGAAUUUUGUCAACAUAUCCUUCCACUGCAUAUUGCAAUGCCUCGAUCUAAAGGAUAUCAUGGAGAUAUUACUCCAAAAAGAAUCACUUACACUGAUCGGUAAUAUGCCCCCCCCGCCCCUCCAUGGUUGGCUGUUUACAGUAGUUGCCACUUACAAAGAAGUGCAGCUUGACAGGCGUACAGUUGCAACAGUAACUAAGAUAGGCAAGACUUUUGCGAAAGGUCAGUUAUGACUCAUAAAUACAUUGUACAUAAAUAUUAAACAACUGUCAUAAGGCGCUACCAAAAUGAAUUAGUUGAUGAAUAAAAUAUGUUUUUUAA